UGGAUCGACCAAAGAAGGGAACCAAGGAGAAAAACCCUAAGUUCUACAAAUUUGCAAGAUUGAAAGGGAAAUCAAGACCAAAUAACAUGCAUGAACUCGAUUCUCUAGCAAUCUAAGCUUGUCCUACAAAGAGGCGUUAAGGAAGAAAGUUCGAGUCAAGUGAAGCAACAAGGGAAUCAAGACCGAGGUAAAUCUCAUGUCUAGCUAUCAAGCUUCGCCCGGUUCGAACACGCCUCAAGCCCGUCAAGCGUUCCGCAUUUUGUAAAAGUCAAUGUUUAAAACUUUGUCACUUAUGUUUUCGUCUAGUACAUAAACCUAGUUUUCAUUAUGUUGUCUUUUGGAAAACUUGUCGUAAGUACGUACAUAAACUCAAUGGUUUUGUAAGUAAAACAUGGUAUGUUUUGACGUGUA